rnacentral:rRNA from 1 species
UAGGGAAUCUUCGGCAAUGGACGGAANNNUGGACCGAGCAACGCCGCGUGAGUGAAGAAGGUUUUCGGAUCGUAAAGCUCUGUUGUAAGAGAAGAACGAGUGUGAGAGUGGAAAGUUCACACUGUGACGGUAUUUUACCAGAAAGGGACGGCUAACUACGUGCCAGCAGCCGCGGUAAUACGUAGGUCCCGAGCGUUGUCCGGAUUUAUUGGGCGUAAAGCGAGCGCAGGCGGUUAGAUAAGUCUGAAGUUAAAGGCUGUGGCUUAACCAUAGUACGCUUUGGAAACUGUUUAACUUGAGUGCAAGAGGGGAGAGUGGAAUUCCAUGUGUAGCGGUGAAAUGCGUAGAUAUAUGGAGGAACACCGGUGGCGAAAGCGGCUCUCUGGCUUGUAACUGACGCUGAGGCUCGAAAGCGUGGGGAGCAAACAGGAUUAGAUACCCUGGUAGUCCACGCCGUAAACGAUGAGUGCUAGGUGUUAGACCCUUUCCGGGGUUUAGUGCCGCAGCUAACGCAUUAAGCACUCCGCCUGGGGAGUACGACCGCAAGGUUG